UGCAUCGAUGAAGAACGCAGCGAAAUGCGAUACUUGGUGUGAAUUGCAGAAUCCCGUGAACCAUCGAGUCUUUGAACGCAAGUUGCGCCCCAAGCUGUUAGGCUGAGGGCACGUCUGCCUGGGUGUCACGCAUCAUUGCCCCACCCCACCCUUAUGGGGCCAGGUGGUGUGGGCGGAGAAUGGCCUCCCGUGAACAACCACUCGCGGUUGGCCCAAAUAUGAGUACUCGGUGACCAAAGCCGCGACGAUCGGUGGUGCAAACAUGCCUCUCGAGUUCACGUCGUGUGCCUGUGUCUUCCAUAAGAGAGACUCAAGGACCCUGACGCUAUGCAAAAGCAGAGCUCGCACCGCGACCCCAGGUCAGGCGGGAUUACCCGCUGAGUUUAAGC
rnacentral:sRNA from 1 species